CCCCGACACACUCACAGGCCUUAUCUUCCACUUAUUGAUUCAAAUGUUGCGACUGUUUUGAAUUUAGAUUCAAGAGUGAAGUCUCUCUCCCUGCCAAGCGUCCGAGAGCUGCCGGGCGGCUGGAUUGUCUUUUUGGAUCGUUCACGAUUCAAACUUUUACUCACUUUGACAGGAAGAGAGGGGGAAGGGGCUUUUGCUUUGAAAGGGCUGUCAUUGUCAUGCCUGCUGUUGGCUCUGGUCUCAGCGUGGUGGGUAAUGGGGAUUAGUUUCUGGGUGAGUAGCAUUGCUCCUGGGCACCAAACCAGACUGCUCACUAUGAUAGUUUCUGAUCGGUUUUCCCUUGUGGGCCUUUGAUCAAUAACCUGGAUCUCUAGAGUAAAGCAGGAAGUCUCUGUGUGCCAUUUGAACUUUGAGCGGUUGGACUGCCAAAAUAUCAAAGUAAAAUGGCUGCCAAAGCUUCCCUAUCACAGAACAGAGGAAAAAGACGGAUAAGAAGGCAAAGUCUCUCAUCUCCUACUACACACGCUGUGCUGCUGAGGGGUCUGGGGUUUAGGGCAGGUCAGAAGAACAACUCUACCUCCAGCCCCUAGCGCACAUCUCACUGCAUAUCUUUCUCCUGAUCCCGAACAUUGGAACAAAUAAACAACGACAAACGACAUCAACACAAACAUGACUAGUGGUUCGUUGUCAUGUCUCAGCGCUGCUCCUCUGAUUAAGUAGGAUCGAUGAUAAUCAAUAAUCAAUCGUCUGUACUGAACCUCGAAGUGUCCACGGACACGGAUAUUCGGAAUGACAUAAUUUGGACAAAAAGUAAAACGAAAAGAAAUAAAGAUGGAAAAACUGCCACAGAAUAAUCUUAUUCUUUAAAAUAGCUAUGAUACAAGGUGUGACUUAAGUUACUAGAUUGAAUUAUACACAGCCAUUUGGAUAUUUACAUAUGUACAUGGCAAAGAUCUUUCUGCUAGUUGGAUGUGUCCCUUUAUAUUCACUUAAACACGGCGUCGCCAAAACUCAACACCAAACAGAAGAACGCGAAGGCACUUUCUAUCCAAGCAAAUACUGAAAAACAUGAGCACUAACAGGUUGAAAUGUUCUGUGGACUAUGACAAGGGUAACAUACAAUCCUCACAAGCCUUUAUACAAUUAUAGAUGAAGAGAGAAACAAUGUUUGCGAAUGUAAACAAAACUUACCCAUGCCUGAAUUUUUUCCACGGCACAUUUUUCAAAGUCCUGAUAUAUAUGUCUGUGUAUAAAACCUGCUGUGUUUUAAACAGACUUACAAAAGGGUCCAGGUAUCUGAGGGGUGUACAAAAGGCCCACAUGUUGGGGCUAAGGCCCAUGUGACUCCUUUUAGCCAAUGGCCGGUCCUCUUGAAACUCAAGGGCGGAGCCUUGGUCACAUGAUACAUAAAUGCUUUCAGGAUGCAUUGUGGGUAAACAGCAGUCCGAAGCUGUAAACAAAAACAAAAAAACAAAAAAUGUCAAGGAAGAAAUCCUUUCUUUACGUUGAAGUGCAGACCGGUCCUGAAAGCUGCGACAUCAAAUUUCCUUCUUUUUUGCAGGUUUUUUUUCUUUUCUUUUUCUUCUUUGGUUAAAAAAAAAAAACAACCCAAAAAACUAAACGUGUCCGGCUCGCCAAGGCAAACCUCAGAACGGUGGAACAGAACAAACAGAAGAGUAGAACGUCAUAAAUCUUCACUUUUGGUGCUUCAACGGUUGAAAUGUCCGGACCUUCGGCCCCGCCCACGGCCCCGCCCCUGGCCCCGCCCCCGGCCCGGCCCUCAUACGUAGUGGUCCCUGAUGUCGUCGCAGAGCUUGGCGGCGUUCAGGUUCUUACAGCGGUUGUCCUUGGGGCUGUAAGCCGUCCGGUGGGGCCCCUUCAACGGGCGCGUCGUACAGAUCAGCCCGCCGUUACCCACAAUCCCUCUGUCCAUGAGCCCCGCCAUGGAGCCCUUGGCGUUGGACGGUUUCACCCCCGGCCCGUUCCGCUUCUCCCCGGCCUCCUCGUCCUGGCCCCCCCCCUGCUGCGCCUCCUGCUGCGCCGCCUCCUCCUCCCAGCGGCCCGCCCCCGCCGCCUCCUCCUCGUCCUCCUCCUCCCCCCCGCCGUCCUCCGCCCCGUCGCACGCCCGCUCCAGCAUCAGCUUGCGGGUCUCGUGGCGGGCGUCCUUGUGGCGGUUGUCCUUGUGGGCGUGGCCGGGCGCCAGCGGCUGCAGCUGGUUGUUGACGGUGCGGUCGCGGGCGGCCAGCUCCGCCUCCUGCCGGUCCUUCUUCCUCUUGCGCGUCCAGCAGAUGCAGACCGCGAUGCACGCCACCCAGAGCGCCCCGAA
ensembl:lncRNA